rnacentral:rRNA from 1 species
UCGAUUCCCUUAGUAGCGGCGAGCGAAACGGGAAGAGCCCAAACCAACAAGCUUGCUUGUUGGGGUUGUAGGACACUCUAUACGGAGUUACAAAGGACGACAUUAGACGAAUCAUCUGGAAAGAUGAAUCAAAGAAGGUAAUAAUCCUGUAGUCGAAAAUGUUGUCUCUCUUGAGUGGAUCCUGAGUACGACGGAGCACGUGAAAUUCCGUCGGAAUCUGGGAGGACCAUCUCCUAAGGCUAAAUACUCUCUAGUGACCGAUAGUGAACCAGUACCGUGAGGGAAAGGUGAAAAGCACCCCGGAAGGGGAGUGAAAUAGAACCUGAAACCGUGUGCUUACAAGUAGUCAGAGCCCGUUAAUGGGUGAUGGCGUGCCUUUUGUAGAAUGAACCGGCGAGUUACGAUUUGAUGCAAGGUUAAGCAGUAAAUGUGGAGCCGUAGCGAAAGCGAGUCUGAAUAGGGCGUUUAGUAUUUGGUCGUAGACCCGAAACCAGGUGAUCUACCCUUGGUCAGGUUGAAGUUCAGGUAACACUGAAUGGAGGACCGAACCGACUUACGUUGAAAAGUGAGCGGAUGAACUGAGGGUAGCGGAGAAAUUCCAAUCGAACCUGGAGAUAGCUGGUUCUCUCCGAAAUAGCUUUAGGGCUAGCCUCAAGUGAUGAUUAUUGGAGGUAGAGCACUGUUUGGACGAGGGGCCCCUCUCGGGUUACCGAAUUCAGACAAACUCCGAAUGCCAAUUAAUUUAACUUGGGAGUCAGAACAUGGGUGAUAAGGUCCGUGUUCGAAAGGGAAACAGCCCAGACCACCAGCUAAGGUCCCAAAAUAUAUGUUAAGUGGAAAAGGAUGUGGCGUUGCCCAGACAACUAGGAUGUUGGCUUAGAAGCAGCCAUCAUUUAAAGAGUGCGUAAUAGCUCACUAGUCGAGUGACACUGCGCCGAAAAUGU